CACACAGUCCAAAAAAGACAACACAAAGAAGACAGAUACAAGCACAUGCAUGUAAACAAACAGGACAGCACAGCUACAACCCAUCCCAAUCUAGACUUCGCCCCAGCCCAGCCCUGGCGCCCCCGGACGCCUGUCACACCUGUUGGGUGCUCACCAGGAAGCGAACCACUUGGCGAGUGUUGGCGGAGGCGUUGCUGUGGGAGUGGGCGCAGGGGGAGCUGGGGGUGCUGUCACUGGUCAGGCUGGGCAGGUGAUCAUUGGUGCCAUUGUCCUGGGCCAGCUGGCGAAGGUACUCCAGUCUCCUCUGGCGGCCCAGCUGAAGGGAGAGCAGAGACUGGAGCUGCAGUCGCUCGAUGGAGCCCAGUAGGAUCAUGGACUCUGAGAGAAAGGGAAACAAGGGGGAUAAUAGGGGAUGGGGAACUUGUGAGGGAACAAGGUUGAGGUGUCAACACAGACAAAGAUCAUAAAAAGAGGUAGAAAACAAAA